rnacentral:ncRNA from 2 species
CAAAUUGAAUGGGGUGUCCCGAUAGGGGCUGAGAUCAUACCCAGAAGUUGAAUACUUCGCACCUGAUCCAGGUAAUGCUGGCGUAGGGAAUUUGGUGAGUCAAUCU